GACGAACGCUGGCGGCGUGCCUAUUACAUGCAAGUCGAACGCAUUUUCUUUCACCGUAGCUUGCUACACCGAAAGAAAAUGAGUGGCGAACGGGUGAGUAACACGUGGGUAACCUGCCCAUCAGCGGGGGAUAACACUUGGAAACAGGUGCUAAUACCGCAUAAUUCCAUUUACCUCAUGGUAGAUAGAUGAAAGGCGCUUUUGAGUCACUGAUGGAUGGACCCGCGGUGCAUUAGCUAGUUGGUGGGGUAACGGCCUACCAAGGCUGCGAUGCAUAGCCGACCUGAGAGGGUGAUCGGCCACACUGGGACUGGGACACGGCCCAGACUCCUACGGGAGGCAGCAGUAGGGAAUCUUCGGCAAUGGACGCAAGUCUGACCGAGCAACGCCGCGGGAGUGAAGAAGGUUUUCGGAUCGUAAAACUCUGUUGUUAGAGAAGAACAAGGAUGAGAGUGGAAAGUUCAUCCCUUGACGGUAUCUAACCAGAAAGCCACGGCUAACUACGUG
rnacentral:rRNA from 1 species